AUGGUCUUGUAGGGCUAGGUCUAAACCAGAAUUUAUAGAAAGAUUAAAAGAUUCCCUAGGUGUAGCUAAAAGUUCAUUAUCUUCUUGAUUAAAAGAUAGGAUCUCGGCUAUAGAAAAGGGUUGGUUUUGACCUAUUGCAAUUAACUCCGCACACAGAUCAUAAUUAGGGGCAAAGAAAGAACUUGUUGACUCCCAUGGUCUAUGGCUGGUCUCCGAAGGUGCAAAAAAUUCAAUAAUAGGUGUGGAAUUUGAGUUAUCCUUAAAGAUGGAAAAAAUAAAAAGGUAAAAGAAUAAAAGUAUAAAAGUAUAAUACAAGAUAAUAGCAAGACUCAAAGUUAUCUUAGCAAACCGUCUUUCUCCCUAGCAACGGCGCUAGAAAUGCUUGGUGAUAUUUGUGAACCCA
rnacentral:lncRNA from 1 species